AAAAGACAGUGAGAAUAAUCUCACUGCUAAUCAGUUUAAAAUAUAUUUAAAAAAAAAUAACACAAAAACUCAAUUUGAUUUGUAAAACCACAGCAAUUGUUUGUGCUAAAACACAAUCAGUUUAAUUACUUUUACCAAGCUGCAGGCCUUACAUUCAAAAAUUAAAAAAGCUGCGAACAGAUACGUAACUAAUUAUACAAAUACAGCUACCACAAAUUGAUCUCAUAUUAAUUCACCCCUUAUUAUAAUCCAAUCUCUCCACUUCCUUUCCUGACACAGAUCGGACCGGAUGCACUUUCUUAAACAUUGAUGGAAAGCAAAAACUCGAUUCUUUCACUUCAAAUUCAAACCCAUUUACCUUUGCUCUUUCUUCUUCCAUUUUCUUCAAUGCCUCCCUCUGUAAUUUUCUCUGCACGUAUGCUUCAGCUAGGCAAUACCCAGAAGUUGCCAUGCCCUAAAAUGAUGUUGAGACUACAACUCUGCAACUGAACAAGUAGCUAUUGUUAGUUGUGAAUUGAGAAGGGGUUGAAAUGGGUGGUUUUUUAUAGGCAUUGGGCUGGCUUCGGAAGCAAGAAAAUUAAAAUAAUGAGGUGAUUAAUGGUCUAAUGAGGUCAGUAUAGAAUUAUCUAGGAGUAAAUUAUUUGUAUUAUGAGUUUGACCCAGAGAGGUGGUGGCUGAUGAGGAUCAGAAAUGGCAAUAAAUUAAAGGGGGC
rnacentral:misc_RNA from 1 species